GGGGACUAUAGCACUGUGAUAGAGUAUUUGCUUUCUAUGCAGAAUGUCCCAGGUUCAGUCCCUAGUAUCUCCA